rnacentral:lncRNA from 1 species
GGAAAUUAUUCCCUUGAGUGAAAUGAAAUUAUAUUCUCUUGUUUUCUGGGAAAGUGCUUGUGCUAACUCUUCCUUCAGGAUCCGUUGAAUAAGUUAGUAGCUGAUGAAAGAAAGCAGCAAGUGACUACAUUGGCAUUGAUAAAUAAUUGAGUACUGUAGUUAGGGUUCUUCUCAGAGACUCAUGAUCUUUUUUUUUUCUAGAGAUCAGCUGAAGUCCAGCCCUCUCACUUUACAUAUGAGGAAUGGGAUAUGAAAGGAUGAAGCAGUUUUCCCAAAUCCACAGAGCUACCAAGCGGCAGAUCUGGUCCUAAAACUUUGGGAUCAGGUGUCUACUGGGCUAUGCUGUCCUACUCAAAUGUAUUAAAACAGCCGCAGCACCCGUCUUCAAGUCAUGGCAGAGACAAAAGCUUUGGCAACUGAAUAACACCCUGAACAAUAAUCCACUGUUGGGUUUCCUGGCUCUAUCAUACAUCAGUGGACAGUCAUGGGCAAGUUCCUGAACUUCUCCGAGCCUCAGGCUAUCUCAUCUAUAAGUGGGUCAGAGAAGAUCAGCUACCUCUUUUACCUGCCCCUCCAAGAGGUGCAAGAACAAAACACAGAUUUAAUUUCUCCAUAAAUUAUCCUGCCACACCAUUCCUGUGCUUAAAAUCUUUUCUGACCUCUUUUUUUGGGGGGAAGAGAAAGACUACCAGUAGUAGUAUGAUGAAAACCCUCCUUUGUUAGAAACAAAAGGACCAGGAUAAAUGGACUUGAAGAGGAUUUGCAUCAUCUAAAGUAGCUUGUCAAAAAAAUCAUGAAUCUGGGCACUUGGAAAAAUAGAGCUACUGCUUCAAAUCAGACACAUAUUUGAUUAAAGAUAUAUGUUUAUUAAACUUUAUUAAGUAAACCUUGCUUCUCUAGUUUACUCAUCUUCACACUCUUAACUUCCUACUCUUCAAAUCUAAAGGUGGGUUGGUGGAUGUUGGACAUAAUCAAAAUUUCCUUCAAUAGGUUAAUGAGUAAAUAAAUUGUGCUCCCUCCAGACA